GAUGAACGCUGGCGGCGUGCUUAACACAUGCAAGUCGAACGGUGAAGCAGGAGCUUGCUCUUGUGGAUCAGUGGCGAACGGGUGAGUAACACGUGAGCAACCUGCCCCUGACUCUGGGAUAAGCGCUGGAAACGGCGUCUAAUACUGGAUAUGUGAUGUGACCGCAUGGUCUGCAUCUGGGAAGAAUUUCGGUUGGGGAUGGGCUCGCGGCCUAUCAGCUUGUUGGUGAGGUAAUGGCUCACCAAGGCGUCGACGGGUAGCCGGCCUGAGAGGGUGACCGGCCACACUGGGACUGAGACACGGCCCAGACUCCUACGGGAGGCAGCAGUGGGGAAUAUUGCACAAUGGGCGGAAGCCUGAUGCAGCAACGCCGCGUGAGGGAUGACGGCCUUCGGGUUGUAAACCUCUUUUAGCAGGGAAGAAGCGAAAGUGACGGUACCUGCAGAAAAAGCACCGGCUAACUACGUGCCAGCCGCCCGCAGUAA
rnacentral:rRNA from 1 species